rnacentral:rRNA from 1 species
GACGUAGGCGGCGAGCGUUGUCCGGAGUGACUGGGCGUACAGCGCGCGCAGGCGGCCCCAUGCGCCCCGGGUGAAAGGCGCCGGCUCAACCGGCGAGCGGCCCGGGGGACGGUGGGGCUGGAGGGCGGGAGAGGUCGGUGGAAUUCCCGGUGUAGUGGUGAAAUGCGUAGAGAUCGGGAGGAACACCCGCGGCGAAGGCGGCCGACUGGGCCGACCCUGACGCUGAGGCGCGAAGGCGCGGGGAGCGAACGGG